rnacentral:rRNA from 1 species
GACAGAGGAGCCAAGCGUUGUCCGGAUUGACUGGGCGUAAAGCGCACGCAGGCGGAUGCGCGCGUGGGGUGUGAAAUCUGGCCGCUUAACGGCCAGGCGCCAUCCCAUACGGCGCGUCUGGAGUGAUGCAGAGGUCGAUGGAAUUGCCGGUGUAGUGGUGAAAUGCGUAGAGAUCGGGAGGAACAUCAGUGGCGAAGGCGGCCAUCUGGGACAACACUGACGCUGAAGCACGAAAGCGUGGGGAGCAAACAGG